UGGGGAAUCUUGCACAAUGCGCGAAAGCGUGAUGCAGCAACGCCGCGUGCGGGAAGACGGCCUUCGGGUUGUAAACCGCUUUCAGUUGGGACGAAGUAUGGGCCGUUAAUAGCGGUUCCAUAUGACGGUACCUUCACAAGAAGCCCCGGCUAACUACGUGCCAGCAGCCGCGGUAAUACGUAGGGGGCAAGCGUUGUCCGGAAUCAUUGGGCGUAAAGAGCGUGUAGGCGGCUUUGUAAGUCGGCUGUGAAAGUCAAGGGCUCAACCCUUGAAUGCCGGCCGAUACUGCAAAGCUAGAGUCCGGAAGAGGCGAGUGGAAUUCCUGGUGUAGCGGUGAAAUGCGCAGAUAUCAGGAGGAACACCAACGGCGAAGGCAGCUCGCUGGGACGGUACUGACGCUGAGACGCGAAAGCGUGGGGAGCGAACAG
rnacentral:rRNA from 1 species